GAGGAUAAAGGUUUACGAGCUGCGGAACAAGACGAAGGCGGAGCUGCUGAACCAGUUGAAGGAUCUGAAGGCGGAGCUCGCUCUGCUUCGAGUGGCUAAGGUCACUGGCGGCGCCCCUAACAAGCUCUCCAAAAUGUACUCUUCGAACUUGUUCUGAGUGUGUGUUGUGAUUGUUUUGUUUGUUGGAAUCGCGUUUUGUAAACUGCAUUUUGUGUUCGUUUUGUAGCAAGGUAGUGAGGCUUUCGAUAGCGCAGGUGUUGACGGUUAUUUCUCAAAAGCAGAAGGCAGCGCUCAGAGAGGCUUACAAGACAAAGAAGUAUUUGCCCCUUGACCUCCGUCCCAAGAAGACCCGCGCCAUUCGCAGACGCCUUACCAAACACCAGGUUUCACUCGUUUUAAUUUUUUUAUGUUUUUGUUUAAUUUUGUUCGUCGUUUUUCUUCUAGAAUUUGAAAUUUUAGAUUUUAUGUCUUCUCAAUAAAUUAAAUUGUGAUUAUGGUACAACAUGUGCAUCAUACUCCAACUUCACCUUUACUCUUGAGUUUGAGUUAUGGUGCAUCUGCAUUGAAUAUACCUUAAUAAUUGGUUCCAGUAGUAUUGUGAUCUCAUAUCUUUAAAUUAAACUGUGAUUACUACCAAACAUGGAUAGACUGUUAAUGUUGUUUUUAGUCUCAUGUUUUUGGACUCACACCGUAUUUUGUGGUCUCAUAAAAAUUAUUUAACGGUUUUUUUAGCUCUAAUUAAAUGAUGAAUUUUAAUAGAAGUUAUUUUAUACUUGAUAUGUUAUCCAUUUAUAAACGAGGGUUUGGUUUUAUCAAAUUGUGCUUUGUCUUAUCACCCUCUUCUCGGUUUGUGCAGGCAUCAUUGAAGACAGAACGGGAGAAGAAGAAGGAGCUUUACUUUCCACUCAGAAAGUAUGCCAUCAAAGUUUAAGUUAGAAUUGAUUACUUGUAUUGAAAUUUUAAGGUGUUGAUGCUUGCCACUGAGGCUGCAUUCCAAUUUUUAGUACCUAAGUUGUUUUGAUGCCUGCCUUCAUAGUUUCCAGGGUAUUUAUUAAAACUAUAGUUGCUUCGAGAAAUUAUGGUUGUUUUUGGCCUUUUGUUUUAUGGAGUAUCACUGGAUGAAUGAUCAAUUUGAAAUCUUCAUUUCUCUCCUUUUCGGUAAACUAUUUCUGUUACAAUUAUCAUAAGCAUUUAAUUUGGUCCUUAUGUUCAGUGAAUUUAGUGUGGUUUAGGCUGAUAUAGGCUUUUAGUUC
rnacentral:lncRNA from 1 species